rnacentral:rRNA from 1 species
CCUACGGGUGGCAGCAGUGGGGAAUAUUGCGCAAUGGGGGAAACCCUGAUGCAGCGACGCCGCGUGAGUGAAGAAGUAUUUCGGUAUGUAAAGCUCUAUCAGCAGGGAAGAAAUCCUGACCUUACGGUCAGCAGACGGUACCUGACUAAUAAGCCCCAGCUAACUACGUGCCAGCAGCCGCGGUAAUCCGUAGGGGGCAAGCGUUAUCCGGAUUUACUGGGUGUAAAGUGAGCGUAGACGGCAGCGCAAGUGUGGAGUGAAAUCCCAUGGCUUAACCAUGGAACUGCUUUGGAAACUGUGCAGCUGGAGUGUAUGAGAGGUAAGUGGAAUUCCUGGUGUAGCGGUGAAAUGCGUAGAUAUCAGGAGGAACACCAGUGGCGAAGGCGGCUUACUGGACUGUAACUGACGCUGAGGCGCGAAAGCGUGGGGAGCAAACAGGAUUAGAUACCCCUGUAGUC